rnacentral:lncRNA from 1 species
CAGGCCCUCGAUCCGUCCCAGCUUUGGCUUAUGAAGAGCUCUGGGUAGAUGGUGGGUCUAGUUCUACCCUCAGGUCUGGGCGGACUGGGGGCUUCUGAAAUUCUCAUUUGCUCUCAUCCCUGUGGGUCUGGGAAGAGAGAUCAGUCUAAGUGCUGAGCAGCUGGGAAGCACUGCCGAAUUUACAUGGUCCUCGUGCCUGAGCAGAAGGGGCUUGAAACCUGCAUUCUCCACCCUCGAUUUCAAAGCACUGGGCUUUGAUCCUAGCUUGUUUGUCAACAGAAGGGUCUGACCCAUUGAGUCCCAGUGAUGCAUCUGCAAGGCGCUCCGCGGGGAAGCUCACAGCUCGAGGAUGGGAAAUGUAAUUGCAUCUGCCACUCAUCUGGUCCGUGCCCAGACUGUCUGCGCGGUGGCAGUGGUCCUCGGUUCUGUCAAAAGCACAUACAUGAGGUUUUAUAGUUUUAAUUUCCUUGUCCAUCAUGCACCUUCGUAUCAGCUGGCAGAAUGGAAUGAAGCCCACCCUGACCACCAGAGAGACUUUCUCCCUGCCUGAAGUCAGAUUGCAGCUCCUGGCUUGGAAUGGACAAAUGAGAAGAUGAAUUCAGGCCCUGUAGCUGAUACAGUUCAUCCAGUGCUCCUCAAGCAUUGACCAGCACUAAAAGCUGUUGUGACCCAUGCAUGGCCUUGACCCCAGCCUUCUCUCCUCUGAAGGAUGGAGACCCAGGGGAGGCCGGUGUACUGUCUUUCACAGAGCAGGUGCUUCAUAAAUAUUUAUUGGAUGACUAACUCCAGUGUUUAACUCUCAGAAUGAAGCGAAGUUCAGAUUGAGUUUUGUUUUGUUUUGUUUUCUGGUCCACAGGGAAGUGCACAGGACAGUGUUAGGGACAACCAAUGUAAGCCACUUCUUCCUACCCACUGCUUUAUGAUUCUAGAGUCAGAGCUUUCUGAGCUGGGCCUAGCCAGCUCUCCCCCAGACUGCUCUCUUGGGACCAGCUUCCCACAGCCUCCCCCGUCCCUGGGA